rnacentral:lncRNA from 10 species
UGCCCAAGGUUUUUCUACUGAUUCACAACCUCACGUUCUUUUCUUUGUUCUAUGCCAGGUCACGAGUCAGACACAGGGUGAGCAGGAAUCAGUGGCCUAGCUUUCACUCACAGGGGCCUGCAGUUUGGUUAUUACCAAGCCUCCCAAAAGGACCUGAUACGUUGGUUUUUGGAUCACAUGGUGGCUGCAGAUGUGCUCAGUGGGGUGUCCAGGAGAGGCUGGGUUUAAGACAGUUCCCACAUGCUGGCUGUAGCAUUUGGGGCAGGACACUUAAUAGCUUUGACUCUGUUUUCUCAUGUUUGAACUGGGAUUACACCUUCCUGGUGGGUUUGCUGAGAAGAUGGGAAGAUGUCCAUAUCUUCCUAUAUGUAUAUCUAAGGUGCCCAUCACAUGGCUAGAGCUUAAUAAGGGAUAGCUGGCCUUAUGAACUUCUUUUGAGCCUACGCAUUCAUAGUUGGGUCACGUAAGCUCUAUCUAGGUUUCUAAAUCCCAUGUAGAAUCUUCCCUUUCUCUAAUCUAAAUGUAACAUCUUUCAGGAGGAGCUAAAUUCAUAUUGUACCCGAGCAGCUAUAAACGAUCACUCUGUCACUGGAGGAAAACGCUGUGCCCACAUAGAGAUGCCACCAAGAAACCGGCCUUUUUAAGCUGUUGACUUUUUCUUGGCUUGUUUUUAUAGGUGUUGGUGGAAAUAACCCAGAUGAAGAAAAGAAUAGCACAGCCAAUUCUGGGGUCUCCUCUACAGACAUCCUGAGCUUCGGGUACCAGGGAAGUUUGUUGUCACACACACAAGACCAGGACAGAAAUACUGAAGAACUAGACAUGGCUGGGGUGCAGAGCUUAGUGCCCAGGCUGAGACAUCAGCUUUCCUUUCUGCCGUUAAAGGUAAUCAUCCCUUGGUUUACUUUCUAGAUCUGGAUGAAAGAGAACAGACUGUGAAGCCCAACAGCCUGGCCCCUAGGCCCUUCCUGUUCUCUGUUUUCCAUGUCAGGUGGAUGGAAGUUACUUAGCCCCUUUGAGCCACAGCUUCCUCAUUUGCAUACAGAAGCAAAUGCCUGCAUGGCAUGGUUGUUGAGAAAAACGCAUAGAAGAAGGCAGAGUUCUAGGACAGUGUCUGGGCACAGGCUCAGUGUGGGUGCCUCUGGAGUCUUUAGUCACUAAUUAUAAUUGUUGUGAUAAUAGCACCAUGAGGAAAUUGAUUGCUGCCAAUGGCAAGGCGUGGGCAACCAGGCACCUCCUAUUCUUGUCCUUGAAUUGGUCCUCAAGCUGGGAACUCAGUGGCUUUGCUCUUGACCAUACCCCAUGGAGGAAGAAGAUGGGAUCUGGAGUAGGUGUAUGGAGGGCUGUGUGCUUCAGUCCCAGCUCUGCUGUCCUCUGCCGUCUCUUUGGAUUCCCAGUGGUGUUGUCUUCUCAGGCCCCGCCAGACCCAUGCCCCAGCCUCUCCAUUCUGCUCUGGGCCCUGCACAGCUGGUGCUCAUGGACUGAGUCACCUUGCUGUGUUCUGCUUGGUUCUGCCCAGUCGAAGCCUCAGCAGGAGCCCGCAGUUGUGGGAUGAGUGAGGACAGGGUGGCAGUGCUGGAGUCUCAGUUGCACACCCUUCAUUCCACUCUUUCCCUGUGCUGACACAGGUUGCCUGUGCCCCUCUACAAAGAGCACAGCUCCUAUCAGGGUCCAUCGACCACUCCCUUCUCUCGCCCUUCAGGCUCAGGGGUGGUCACAGCACCCAGUGUUUCCAGCCCCAGGUGCUGAACUGAUAUUACUGGUUUCUCCAAAGGCUGGCAAGACCUUUGAAAACAGGUCUCCCACGACCUAUCCUCCCUU